rnacentral:rRNA from 1 species
CAGAUUGAACGCUGGCGGCAUGCCUUACACAUGCAAGUCGAACGGCAGCACGGGAGCAAUCCUGGUGGCGAGUGGCGAACGGGUGAGUAAUAUAUCGGAACGUGCCCAGUCGUGGGGGAUAACGCAGCGAAAGCUGUGCUAAUACCGCAUACGUCCUGAGGGAGAAAGCGGGGGAUCGCAAGACCUCGCGCGAUUGGAGCGGCCGAUGUCAGAUUAGCUAGUUGGUGGGGUAAAGGCCCACCAAGGCGACGAUCUGUAGCUGGUCUGAGAGGACGACCAGCCACACUGGGACUGAGACACGGCCCAGACUCCUACGGGAGGCAGCAGUGGGGAAUUUUGGACAAUGGGCGCAAGCCUGAUCCAGCAAUGCCGCGUGCAGGAAGAAGGCCUUCGGGUUGUAAACUGCUUUUGUACGGAACGAAAAGGUCUGGGUUAAUACCCUGGGCUCAUGACGGUACCGUAAGAAUAAGCACCGGCUAACUACGUGCCAGCAGCCGCGGUAAUA